CCUGAAACACAAAGAGAAAAAAGGACUAGGAUGGAAAAAGAAUCUGUUCUGCUGGCUGAUUAAGGGAUAGAGGUGGAGAGUUGCCUGGAUCCCAGUAAGGAAGAGCAGAAGUUAGCUGCCAACAUCAUCACCACCACCACCAAUGCCAUUUAUUGAGAGCUUAUUAUAGACAUUACAGGGCUUAUACACAGAUGCUGUGGAGCAGCCUGAGAAGGGAGAGUCUUCAUCCACCUUCAGAAAGAUUGCC